UACAGAGGGUGCAAGCGUUAAUCGGAAUUACUGGGCGUAAAGCGUGCGCAGACGGUUGCGUAAGUCAGAUGUGAAAGCCCCGGGCUCAACCUGGGAAUUGCAUUUGAGACUGCGUAGCUAGGGUACGGUAGAGGGAGGCGGAAUUUCAGGUGUAGCGGUGAAAUGCGUAGAUAUCUGAAGGAACACCAGUGGCGAAAGCGGCCUCCUGGACCAGUACCGACGUUCAGGCACGAAAGCGUGGGGAGCAAACAGG
rnacentral:rRNA from 1 species